rnacentral:SRP_RNA from 1 species
AUCAUGAUGGUGCUUGUAAUCCCUGCUACCAGGGAGACUGAGACUGGUGGAUCAUUUGAGCUCGAGAGUUCUGAACUACAGUGGGAUAUGCACACUAGGUCCAGGAUCAGUAUGGUGAGUCCCCAGAAGUGGGAGGGCCAUCAGGUUGUGUAAGGAGGGGUGAACCAGCCAUGGUCAGAAAUAGAGCAGGUCAAACAUCCUGUGCUGAUCAGUAAUGGGAGUAGCCCUUGCAUCUCCAGCCUGGGUGAGAGAGGGGAGACCUAGUCUCA